UGGGGAAUAUUGGACAAUGGGCGAAAGCCUGAUCCAGCCAUGCCGCGUGUGUGAAGAAGGUCUUCGGAUUGUAAAGCACUUUAAGCUGGGAGGAAGGGCAGUAAGCGAAUACCUUGCUGUUUUGACGUUACCGACAGAAUAAGCACCGGCUAACUCUGUGCCAGCAGCCGCGGUAAUACAGAGGGUGCAAGCGUUAAUCGGAAUUACUGGGCGUAAAGCGCGCGUAGGUGGUUCGUUAAGUUGAAUGUGAAAGCCCCGGGCUCAACCUGGGAACUGCAUCCAAAACUGGCGAGCUAGAGUAGGGCAGAGGGGGGUGGAAUUUCCUGUGUAGCGGUGAAAUGCGUAGAUAUAGGGAGGAACACCAGUGGCGAAGGCGACCACCUGGGCUCAUACUAACACUGAGGUGCGAAAGCAUGGGGAGCAAACAGG
rnacentral:rRNA from 1 species